AGUGAACGCUGGCGGUAGGCCUAACACGUGCAAGUCGAACGGCAGCACAGUAAGAGCUUGCUCUUACGGGUGGCGAGUGGCGGACGGGUGAGGAAUACAUCGGAAUCUACUUUUUCGUGGGGGAUAACGUAGGGAAACUUACGCUAAUACCGCAUACGACCUACGGGUGAAAGCAGGGGAUCUUCGGACCUUGCGCGAUUGAAUGAGCCGAUGUCGGAUUAGCUAGUUGGCGGGGUAAAGGCCCACCAAGGCGACGAUCCGUAGCUGGUCUGAGAGGAUGGUCAGCCACACUGGAACUGAGACACGGUCCAGACCCCUACGGGAGGCAGCAGUGGGGAAUAUUGGAAAAUGGGCGCAAGCCGUAACCAGCCAUACCGCGGGGGUGAAGGAGGCCUUCGGGUUGUAAAGCCCUUUUGUUGGGAAAAAAAAGCAGCAGGUUAAUACCCCGCUGUUCUGAGGGGACCCAAAGAAAAAGCACCGGCGAACUUCGG
rnacentral:rRNA from 1 species